UACGGGAGGCAGCAGUGGGGAAUAUUGCACAAUGGGCGCAAGCCUGAUGCAGCCAUGCCGCGUGUAUGAAGAAGGCCUUCGGGUUGUAAAGUACUUUCAGUCGUGAGGAAGGUGUUAAGGUUAAUAACCUUAGCAAUUGACGUUAGCGACAGAAGAAGCACCGGCUAACUCCGUGCCAGCAGCCGCGGUAAUACGGAGGGUGCGAGCGUUAAUCGGAAUUACUGGGCGUAAAGGGCACGCAGGCGGUUAAUUAAGUUGGAUGUGAAAUCCCCGGGCUUAACCUGGGAAUGGCAUUCAAGACUGGUUAGCUAGAGUCUUGUAGAGGGGGUAGAAUUCCAUGUGUAGCGGUGAAAUGCGUAGAGAUGUGGAGGAAUACCGGUGGCGAAGGCGGCCCCUGGGACAAAGACUGACGCUCAUGUGCGAAAGCGUGGGGAGCGAAACAGGGAUUGAUACC
rnacentral:rRNA from 1 species